UCAACUAUAUUCAAAGCACACUUAGCAGCUGUUAGAUGUGUUGACUUUUCUAAUGAUUCACAAUAUUUAUUAACAGGUUCAAGUGACAAGACAAUUAAGGUUUGGCUAACUAAUAGACAAAAAUUUUUGUAUUCUCUUUGUCAUCAUUGUAAUUGGGUAAGAUCUGCCAGAUAGUUUCAACCAAGAGAAAACCUAGACAAAUAAGCUGUUAAAAUCUUAAUCCCUUAAUCCUAAACAGCUAAACAGAAUAACUAAAACCUCAAAAAUUGCUAACAAAGAAUAAAUAAAGUUUAAAUUGGUUUGCUAUUUAGAAAUGACCAAUCCUUGCCAAAUAAUUUUAUUUCAAAUAAAAAGCACAAAAUAAGUGUUUUCUAAUAUUAAAAAACAGUAAAUUUAUUUAAAAGAAUAAUAAUUGAGAAACAACUGCAUGAAUAAUAGCAGCAAGUCAAUCCUGAUUCUUCCUGCAUGCUAUUCUCCCAAUUAAAACAAAUUUGAAUUCUUUUACUACUGGGAAUAAGAAUGAACCAUUCCUCACCACUAAACCCUGAGAGGUAAAA